CCGGAGUCCUGUCGCACAUGGUCCGCUCGACCCUAGGCAGGAGUCGUUCUGCCCAACGAAAUUCAUCUCUGUUCUCACAUACAGCUGCACAGGCAGUUGUCCUUCCACAUUCCUCUCCCCCUCGCACUGUUCCUUUUUAGCGCACCGCGGCAAUGGCGACCUCUUCCUCCUCCACCCCCAAGCCGUGAACAUGGAUCUUCUUCCCUUAAUCCUAUGACCUCGAUGCGGCAGGCAAGUUUUAGCCAAAUAUCCGCCCGUGGGAAAAGACCCGGCAAUCAGUACUACAAGUGUAUCCUUUGCAGUUCUGGCAAAUGCUCCAUGAACUCAGGGUGGCCCUUUGUACGAAGCAGGUGCUUACCGAGUAGAAGAGGUGGAGAAGAAUGUGAUGUACAGAGCAACGCACACUCGAGCGGAGUGCAGGCUCGUCGACCUGUCCUGCAGCGGCCGAGACAUCCCACAUCGUCGUCUUCGUGACCGGGACACCAGCCCAUGUGGAGGUGCGGUAUGCGAUGUCGAUGCAGUGUAGAGAAAGAACAGAGCAGGACUCCUGACUGUAGCUUCACGGUUCGCUUGUUGUUGCCUUGGCCAUGUGAAUCCCAUUUUUUUUGCACUAAGAUAGGGGUUCUGGAAAACCCAGUAGUUCUUCUAUUUCUGCUAGCUAAACUUGCUCCAUUCUCCUGACAGUAGGAAAUCUAUUUUGGGCUGGUCUCGCUGUUCAAAAAUUCAGAAACUGCUUGAACAAAGAUGUAGUUAAUGUGUUUGGGCUCCUAUUCUGUUGCCAGCUGCGUUUACCUUAGAUUAAGCAUCGUACACAUAUGCGAUGAUUGUUUUGCAGUGAGUAGAGGAAUGAAUUUGUUUCAGUCCUAUCCUAUAGCAGAGAAUGAAUUUAUGUUUCAACAGAACUCUCAAC